CGUGGACGUGCCUUUCGGGAGGACGAUCUCUGGGGCUCAGCUCGCUCUCCGCCCCAAGGUGACGGGCGGCGGGAGAUGGGACACGGCGGGCCCCGGGGAACCGCCUGCGAGCCUCGGGGAGCCGUAGCGGCCACGCGCAUGCGCCUUGGCUAGAGGGCGGGUCCGGUCCAGGAGCGGUUGCCAACGAAACACGUUUGCGUCAUCUAACCGGCGGGUCUCCCGGGCUCCAGGGGUGAGAGGCGGUGCCUGGGUGCUGGACCAAUAGGAUUCCAGGGACCUGAAGGGCGUGGCUAACGCCCAAGUCUACCCAAUGAGACAGUCGUAGGCGGGCCGGGCCGGCAGGACCGGGAACUUCUUCAUGGGACUGCGAACAUCCCUCCGCGCCUCGCUGGCCCCGGCUUUUGGGCGGAGACGUUGGGCCCCUGGUUGUGGUCAACGGGUCUGGCGAGGUCAGCCUCUCCUAUGCCCGGCGGUAUGACUGACUCCGGGCCAGGACUUUGGCCUCCUGGGCCUGUUUCCCCAGGGGACCAGCUCCAGCAGCUCUGACCAGGUGGCCAGGAGACAUCCCUUUCAAGCACCCCUACCUUGCUGGAGGGGCAGGUGGUGAGGCUCUGAGCCACCAUUAGGGGUGCAGCAGCCAGGCAGUAGUGUCCCCCAGGACCACCCGGACAGCCCUCCUCUGCGCUCUUCUUGGCCCAUCAGCCAAAGUCAGACCCUGCGCGAGGACACGGUGAAGGGACUUCUGCGUACCCCUGGAGCAUGCUCGGGGUGGCUGUAGGGGAGUGGACAUGCUGAAGGCCCAGGGCUCAAGUCGAGCUGGUUCCUUUUGUCACCUGAAGCGACCAAUUCACAGGUUCCAGGGUGACCAUGUAGAUGUCUUUGGGAGCUGUGAUUCAGCUAACUGCAGGAUCCUUAAGACCCCACGUUCACCUCCCACUGGGACCCUCUUGAACCCCACUUCCUUCCCACUGGAGCACUGGGGGGGUCUCCUGUCUGCAGCCCACACCGGAGUCUGGCUCCUGCUGCUUGCCCCUACCCGCGCCCCCAUGUCGGACAUCCCUUGAGAGAGCUUUUAAAAGGUCCAUAUUCUUCCUGGGCAGGCGCCACGCCUGUCACCCAGCUGCUUGGGAGGCAGAGGCAAGAAUGUCAGGCUCAAGGUCAGCCUUGGCAACUUAGGGAAACCUUAACUACUAAGUGAGCUUCUGUCUCAAAACACAAAGGGCUGGGGAUGUGUUGGUGGUAAAGUGGCCCUGGGCUCAAUUCCCAGUUCCACUAAUAAAUAAAUAGUCUACAUUUCUCUUGGACUUUCAUUUUUUUCUGAUACACAUAUUUUUCAUUACAGAAAUACACAGAAGCAGUCUGAUGUCUGCACUCCUCUUCAGAUCACCACCGGAGAGCCAAGCCAGCCUCCCAUCCCAUGGGAUUAACAGACAUGCCAGAAAAUCGGGAGUUAAAAAGAGACUGGGUCUUCAAAGCUGUAUGAUGAAGAUAGCAUAGCUGGAGGCCGGAGGCCGGAGUCGGGGAGGCAGGCUGACCCUGAGACUCUGUGGUCAGCCGAGAGACCAAGAAGUCAGAACCAGAAAGACAGGGUCACCAAGCUACUGAGACAGCCAAUAGUCUGUCCUGCUCUGAAAAUACGACCAGGGCCUCUCCCUGCCAUAGCACAUGCCUAGAACGCCCGCUGCCAUGACAGGGUCACAUUGGCUGUGUCAGCUUACAAAAUCAGCCCCAAGGUGGGGAGUACAAUGCGACGCUAAGGCUCCGUGGUGUGUGCCAAGGUGUGGUGGAGCGCAGGGCAGCUGAGACUCCACCUCUACAGGACGUCAAGAGGAGGCCCCCAUGGCAGAUGCCGUAAAAGCUGUGCCCCUUUGUCCUUAGUUGGAGUCAGCCUGGAGCUUUUGUCCUCGUGGGCUUCCUCUUAGGAGCCAGCUUACAGCUGAGGGGCCUCAUUCCUGUCUUACUUGUGCUUCUGUGAAAUUCUGAUACAAAGAACCCCGGGAGGCCGCACGGGGAUCUGCCCCUGCCCCGCCUGGGCAGCUAGCCUCUGUCCCCACACAGCGUCUCCUCCGCUUGUGGUCCAGCCACCAGUCCCUCUCACCUGUCUCGCCCCUGGGCCCUCGAGGUCCUGCUCUUCACCUCACACCUCAUUUCCAAGAUGUCUGCACCUCGACAUCCAAUCCCUUGGCAUCUCUCUCCCUGAAAAGGCCUUUCCCAGGGGGAGCAUCUGGUCUUCACUCUGCUCUGAGUCCCCACGGCCCCAAGCCCCCCCGCAGGUCCUCAAAACUGCUCCCGGCCCUUUAUUUUUACGUGUCUGUCUUCUGCAGUGCUGGGAUGAACCCGGGGUCUCCCUCUGGUCCUUUAAGUCUCGGCGCCCCAGGCUGGUCCCUGCCACCCUUCCUUCUGCCCUGGUGGAGUCCGCCUGUCUCUAGGUUUGCAGGCCACACCUACAGCUGCCGUGGGAAACUGAGACAGCCCCGCCCAGGGCUAUGUGGGUGCAGGCCGCCGGGCGGGCGCUGGCUUCCUGUGGCUGUGACAAAUGGCCGGCCGGCUGCUCCAUCCUUCUGAUGGCCAGGCCAACCUCGCCCUACCCUCUCCACCACCCCAACAGCUGGAGCCCAGUUUGCCCACUCCCCCAAACCCCAGCAUUGUUUUUUUUUAAUAUUUAUUUAUUUUCAGGUGUAGAUGGACACAACACAAUGCCUUAUUUUUAUGUGGUGCUGAGGAUGUCACCCAGGUCCCUCCCGUGCUAGGCGAGCGCUCCACCGCUGAGCCACAGUCCCCGCCCCAUCCAGCAUUGGAUUUUGAGUGACAGGAUUCUGUCUCCCCUGCUUCUCAGGCUGCAGCUAGCAACAGUGAAUCUUCCCUUCCCUCCUCCCUGCUGGCCUUCCUUAUUUCCUUUAACUAUUUUUUUAGGGGAGGUACCAGGGAUCGAACUCAGGAGCACUCGACCACUGAGCCCCAUCCCCAGCCCUAUUUUGUAUUUUAUUUAGUGACAGGGUCUCACUGAGUUGCUUAGGGCCUCACUUUUGCUGAGGCUGGCUUUGAACUCAUGAUCCUCCUGCCUCAGCCUCCCAAGCCACUGGGAUUACUGGCAUGCACCACGGUGCCCAGCUCUUUAAACUAUUUUUUAAAAUAGGAAAGCUACACCUAUGUUUAUACACCUGUGUACAUAACAUCAUUAUUCACAAUUACCCAAAAGUGGAAGCCACAUAACUGUUCAUCAAUUAAUAAUUUAAAAGUGGUCCUUCCAUACAACGGAGUAUUAUUCAGCCAUGAAAAUGAGCAAGACAAGCUGG
rnacentral:lncRNA from 1 species